ensembl:piRNA 21ur-7605 ncRNA
UAUCUUUCGGAAAUACAUUUU